rnacentral:sRNA from 2 species
GUCGCGUCAGCGCCGUAGGCAGGAGCGGGGGACCCAGGUAAGCCGCCGCACCCGAAGGAGGGAGCGGCUCGGGGCGUAUCCGCCCGCGGCAGCGGACGGACGGGCACUCUCCGGCCCGAGCCCGACAGCUCACCCCGCAGGCGUCGGUGAGGAGACAG